rnacentral:snoRNA from 1 species
CGUCUGAAAUGUGAAGAAAAAAUCCACUUUUAAAGGAAGUCAAACCCAGUACCGCCAGGAAAAAAAAAUUCAGAGCAGCUGCCUUUCUCCCGUCAGCCUCCAGUAGUGCUGAGAAGGGUAAAGGGAGCUGACAGGCAGUGAUGUUCCUGUGCUGUGUUCCCUGAGGGGCCCAGAGAAGACGCUGAGGCUGGCAUCCAACAGCUUAGUAGCCGAGGGCUUUGGGUGUUGAGAAUGCUGGUGUCUGUGGCUGUGAUUUCACAGUUCUGGCUGAGACC